UUUGGUUAAGUUAGAAAGGGCGCACGGUGGAUGCCUUGACACUAGGAGUCGAUGAAGGACGGGACUAACGCCGAUAUGCUUCGGGGAGCUGUAAGUAAGCUUUGAUCCGAAGAUUUCCGAAUGGGGAAACCCACCAUACGUAAUGGUAUGGUAUCCUUAUCUGAAUACAUAGGGUAAGGAAGACAGACCCAGGGAACUGAAACAUCUAAGUACCUGGAGGAAGAGAAAGCAAAUGCGAUUUCCUGAGUAGCGGCGAGCGAAACGGAACAUAGCCCAAACCAAGAGGCUUGCCUCUUGGGGUUGUAGGACAUUCUAUACGGAGUUACAAAGGAACGAGGUAGACGAAGCGACCUGGAAAGGUCCGUCGUAGAGGGUAACAACCCCGUAGUCGAAACUUCGUUCUCUCUUGAAUGUAUCCUGAGUACGGCGGAACACGUGAAAUUCCGUCGGAAUCCGGGAGGACCAUCUCCCAAGGCUAAAUACUCCCUAGUGAUCGAUAGUGAACCAGUACCGUGAGGGAAAGGUGAAAAGCACCCCGGAAGGGGAGUGAAAGAGAUCCUGAAACCGUGUGCCUACAAAUAGUCAGAGCCCGUUAACGGGUGAUGGCGUGCCUUUUGUAGAAUGAACCGGCGAGUUACGAUCCCGUGCGAGGUUAAGCUGAAGAGGCGGAGCCGUAGCGAAAGCGAGUCUGAAUAGGGCGUUUAGUACGUGGUCGUAGACCCGAAACCAGGUGAUCUACCCAUGUCCAGGGUGAAGUUCAGGUAACACUGAAUGGAGGCCCGAACCCACGCACGUUGAAAAGUGCGGGGAUGAGGUGUGGGUAGCGGAGAAAUUCCAAUCGAACCUGGAGAUAGCUGGUUCUCCCCGAAAUAGCUUUAGGGCUAGCCUUAAGUGUAAGAGUCUUGGAGGUAGAGCACUGAUUGGACUAGGGGUCCUCAUCGGAUUACCGAAUUCAGUCAAACUCCGAAUGCCAAUGACUUAUCCUUAGGAGUCAGACUGCGAGUGAUAAGAUCCGUAGUCAAAAGGGAAACAGCCCAGACCGCCAGCUAAGGUCCCAAAGUGUGUAUUAAGUGGAAAAGGAUGUGGAGUUGCUUAGACAACUAGGAUGUUGGCUUAGAAGCAGCCACCAUUUAAAGAGUGCGUAAUAGCUCACUAGUCGAGUGACUCUGCGCCGAAAAUGUACCGGGGCUAAAUACACCACCGAAGCUGCGGAUUGAUACCGAAUGGUAUCAGUGGUAGGGGAGCGUUCUAAGGACAGUGAAGUCAGACCGGAAGGACUGGUGGAGUGCUUAGAAGUGAGAAUGCCGGUAUGAGUAGCGAAAGACGGGUGAGAAUCCCGUCCACCGAAUGCCUAAGGUUUCCUGAGGAAGGCUCGUCCGCUCAGGGUUAGUCAGGACCUAAGCCGAGGCCGACAGGCGUAGGCGAUGGACAACAGGUUGAUAUUCCUGUACCACCUCUUUAUCGUUUGAGCAAUGGAGGGACGCAGAAGGAUAGAAGAAGCGUGCGAUUGGUUGUGCACGUCCAAGCAGUUAGGCUGAUAAGUAGGCAAAUCCGCUUAUCGUAAAGGCUGAGCUGUGAUGGGGAAGCUCCUUAUGGAGCGAAGUCUUUGAUUCCCCGCUGCCAAGAAAAGCUUCUAGCGAGAUAAAAGGUGCCUGUACCGCAAACCGACACAGGUAGGCGAGGAGAGAAUCCUAAGGUGUGCGAGAGAACUCUGGUUAAGGAACUCGGCAAAAUGACCCCGUAACUUCGGGAGAAGGGGUGCUUUCUUAACGGAAAGCCGCAGUGAAUAGGCCCAAGCGACUGUUUAGCAAAAACACAGCUCUCUGCGAAGCCGUAAGGCGAAGUAUAGGGGGUGACACCUGCCCGGUGCUGGAAGGUUAAGGAGAGGGGUUAGCGUAAGCGAAGCUCUGAACUGAAGCCCCAGUAAACGGCGGCCGUAACUAUAACGGUCCUAAGGUAGCGAAAUUCCUUGUCGGGUAAGUUCCGACCCGCACGAAAGGUGUAACGAUUUGGGCACUGUCUCAACCAGAGACUCGGUGAAAUUAUAGUACCUGUGAAGAUGCAGGUUACCCGCGACAGGACGGAAAGACCCCGUGGAGCUUUACUGUAGCCUGAUAUUGAAUUUUGGUACAGUUUGUACAGGAUAGGCGGGAGCCUUUGAAACCGGAGCGCUAGCUUCGGUGGAGGCGCUGGUGGGAUACCGCCCUGACUGUAUUGAAAUUCUAACCUACGGGUCUUAUCGACCCGGGAGACAGUGUCAGGUGGGCAGUUUGACUGGGGCGGUCGCCUCCUAAAGUGUAACGGAGGCGCCCAAAGGUUCCCUCAGAAUGGUUGGAAAUCAUUCGUAGAGUGCAAAGGCAUAAGGGAGCUUGACUGCGAGACCUACAAGUCGAGCAGGGACGAAAGUCGGGCUUAGUGAUCCGGUGGUUCCGCAUGGAAGGGCCAUCGCUCAACGGAUAAAAGCUACCCCGGGGAUAACAGGCUUAUCUCCCCCAAGAGUCCACAUCGACGGGGAGGUUUGGCACCUCGAUGUCGGCUCAUCGCAUCCUGGGGCUGUAGUCGGUCCCAAGGGUUGGGCUGUUCGCCCAUUAAAGCGGUACGCGAGCUGGGUUCAGAACGUCGUGAGACAGUUCGGUCCCUAUCCGUCGUGGGCGUAGGAAAUUUGAGAGGAGCUGUCCUUAGUACGAGAGGACCGGGAUGGACGCACCGCUGGUGUACCAGUUGUUCUGCCAAGGGCAUAGCUGGGUAGCUAUGUGCGGAAGGGAUAAGUGCUGAAAGCAUCUAAGCAUGAAGCCCCCCUCAAGAUGAGAUUUCCCAUAGCGUAAGCUAGUAAGAUCCCUGAAAGAUGAUCAGGUUGAUAGGUUCGAGGUGGAAGCAUGGUGACAUGUGGAGCUGACGAAUACUAAUAGAUCGAGGACUUAACCAUAUAA
rnacentral:rRNA from 1 species